CUGCAGUCAAUUGAGCUGACUGUGUUCUCCUCCUUCCCCAUGGGCCCAGUCUGCCAUGGCUACAAACAGCAGCCUCCUGGGUGGUGUCUUCUGCCUGUUCCUUGUACAGGUUGCCCUAAGGGACCUUGGGGGAGAGGC
ensembl:snoRNA SNORA70 Small nucleolar RNA SNORA70